AUUGAACGCUGGCGGCAGGCCUAACACAUGCAAGUCGAGCGGUAACAUUUCUAGCUUGCUAGAAGAUGACGAGCGGCGGACGGUGAGUAAUGCUUGGAAAUCUGCCUGGUAGUGGGGGACAACAGUUGGAAACGACUGCUAAUACCGCAUACGCCCUACGGGGGAAAGCAGGGGAUCUUCGGACCUUGCGCUAUUAGAUGAGCCUGCGUCGGAUUAGCUAGUUGGUGGGGUAAUGGCCUACCAAGGCGACGAUCCGUAGCUGGUCUGAGAGGAUGAUCAGCCACACUGGGACUGAGACACGGCCCAGACUCCUACGGGAGCAGCAGUGGGAAUAUUG
rnacentral:rRNA from 1 species